rnacentral:rRNA from 1 species
AACGCGAAGAACCUUACCUACUCUUGACAUCCAGAGAACUUACCAGAGAUGGUUUGGUGCCUUCGGGAACUCUGAGACAGGUGCUGCAUGGCUGUCGUCAGCUCGUGUGUGAAAUGUUGGGUUAAGUCCCGCAACGAGCGCAACCCUUAUCCUUUGUUGCCAGCGGUCCGGCCGGGAACUCAAAGGAGACUGCCAGUGAUAAACUGGAGGAAGGUGGGGAUGACGUCAAGUCAUCAUGGCCCUUACGAGUAGGGCUACACACGUGCUACAAUGGCGCAUACAAAGAGAAGCGACCUCGCGAGAGCAAGCGGACCUCAUAAAGUGCGUCGUAGUCCGGAUUGGAGUCUGCAACUCGACUCCAUGAAGUCGGAAUCGCUAGUAAUCGUGGAUCAGAAUGCCACGGUGAAUACGUUCCCGGGCCUUGUACACACCG